rnacentral:rRNA from 1 species
GUGCCAGCCGCCGCGGUAAUACGGGGGGAGCGAGCGUUGUUCGGAAUUACUGGGCGUAAAGGGCGCGCAGGCGGUUGGAUAAGAGAGUGGUGAAAACCCCGGGCUCAACCUGGGGCCGGCCAUUCAGACUGUCUGGCUGGAGUGUGGGAGAGGGAAGUGGAAUUCCUGGUGUAGCGGUGAAAUGCGUAGAUAUCAGGAGGAACACCGGUGGCGAAGGCGGCUUCCUGGACCACAACUGACGCUGAGGCGCGAAAGCCAGGGGAGCAAACAGGAUUAGAAACCCCGGUAGUCC